rnacentral:misc_RNA from 1 species
UAUUACUAACCCAACGUCUGUGUUAGUAAGGACGCUUAAACUAUUCUUAAGUCUAGAUAUGACUGUUCUAAUGUUUUGGUUAAUACAAAGCUAGUUUUAUAUUUUGUUUAAAUAUGUUGUAUUGUCAUUCUGAUUUCUGUUUCUACCUCCGUGAUAGAAUGAUGGAAAUAAAAAUGGUUCAAUCGGUGUUUGGAGCAUGGGACUACGCCAUUAUGGCGGCCACGAUGGUGGCUUCAAUAGCUAUCGGUCUAUAUUUCCGAUUCAGUGGUGGAAAACAGGCAACAAAUGAGGAAUACCUCUUAGCCGACCGAAACAUGUCAAUAUUCCCAGUAGCAGUAUCUCUAAUGGCAUCAUUUAUGUCAGCCAUCACGCUACUCGGGGUAUCAGCAGAGAACUAUUACUACGGCAUGCAGUUCGUCAUCAUCAACAUAUCAUAUGGAAUCGCUACUCCUAUAGCAAGCAAGUUGUACUUACCAGUUUUCUUUGGACUGCAGAAGACCAGUACUUACGAAUACUUAGAGAUGAGAUUCGGACCUCAUAUUAGAAUGCUCGCUUCUCUAACAUACACUUUACAAAUGGUGCUCUAUAAUGGGAUAGUUUUAUAUGCCCCUGCGAUUGUACUAGAGGCUGUGACAGGGUUGGAUAGACUGAUCUCUAUAUUAGUAGUAGGAUUAGUUUGUACGUUUUAUUCUACUUUGGGGGGGAUGAAGGCUGUGCUGUUUACUGAUCUCCUGCAAUCAGCACUUAUGUUUGGAGCUGUGUUCAGUGUUGUAGUAUUUGCGUCACUACAAGUUGGCGGCUUCACUCAAAUCUUCGUGAUUGCAAAGGAAGGAGGACGGCUUGAUUUUUCGAAUUUCAGCGUGGAUCCUACGGAGAGGCACACGUGUUGGUCCCUCAUCAUCGGAGGAUUGGUGACGUACUUGUCACUUUAUGCUGUCAAUCACACACAGGUACAACGUCUACAAACAGUGAACACAUUAGACCGAUCUCAAUGGUGUCUAUGGUGGAGUUGGCCGGUGCUGUCAGUUCUAAGUGUGGUGACCUGCAUCAGUGGGCUGGGCAUCUACGCUGUGUAUAAAGACUGUGACCCUUUCAUCAGUAAGAAGAUUUCUGCGAUAGACCAGCUGAUGCCCUACUACGUGGUUGAAGCAAUGGGUAGCGUGCCCGGCCUGGCUGGUCUCUUCGUGGCGGGAAUCUUCAGCGCAUCCCUCUCCACCAUAUCAGCCUCUUGUAAUGCUUUAGCUGCUGUUACCUUACAUGAUUAUGUUGGCAGAGGAAAUCUGGCCCCGAGAUGGUGCAAAGUCCCACCUUCCUACGCACCAUGGCUGACGAAGUUAGCUGCCUGUGCCUACGGGCUCGUCUUCUUGGCCCUGGCGUUCAUAGCGGAGUAUCUAGGAGGUGUGCUCCAAGCUGCCCUUACGAUAUUCGGGGCCGUAGGAGGUCCUCUACUAGGGGUGUUCACCCUAGGAAUGUUCACGACUUAUGCUAAUGAGAGGGCAGUAUCAAUUUCCUUACUAAGCGGUAUGGCGAUGACACUCUGGAUAAGUUUCGGAGGGCCCAGACCUCCUGUGACCAAGCUACCUCUGAGUGUGGAGGGUUGUGGCUUUAACGUGACGCAAGCGGCAGUGGCUGCGACCAACCCCAGUGAUUACUUCUACCUCUACAGAAUAUCUUAUAUGUGGACUAGUCCGAUCGGUUUCAUCUGGGUGAUAGUAGUGGGUACCGCGGUAUCGUUGCUAUGGCGACAGCAGCAGCCAUGGGAGCGACAGGGUCGGUCACACCCAGACCCUGAACUGUUCACCCCUCCUCUAGCAAGUCGGCUAAGAGCGAGGCAUGAAGAGAAACCGGCUGUGCAGAUGACACCGUGUGCUUUGAACACUACUUAGCACAUCCAUUGUGGAAACCCUAUCAGUGUAAACUCUUGCAAUCGAACGGCGUUCAAGAUUAAUUUACUGUACUUAUUUAUUUAAGUAGACAAAUUAUUAUAAUUUUAAGUUAUUUUUUAUAAGGAUAGGUUCAAAAAAACAUUGAAAUGUUUGUUUAUUGUGAAUUUAGUGCUGUUGUUUGUUACAUUCCUAGUUUACGAAUAUUACAUAGUUAAGUCAUAAUUUUGAGAUCCAUAUUUUUUGGAAGACACUCGCUUUUUGUAGAUAAUAUUCUCCAUUUUCAAAAUAAAUUUGUACCUACUCUACUGGGUUACGUACUUACCAAGGAUUAAAGAAGGAACGUGGAAUUAUAGGAAUAUUAGAAAUGACGAUUUGGAGCUUCUAAAUUAGUAUUAAAAAGAAAACAAUAAUUUAUUAUAAUAUUACAAUAUUUAAUUAAUUUAUUAAAAUUGUAUCUAGUUCGUUGUUGAUUAAAAUUGAAGGAAGAUUGUGGAUGAUAGUAAAAAGUGAAAAGUGUGGUAAAACAAUAAUAAUGUCAUUAUAUGGGUUCAUUAUACCUUUUUAAAACCUAAAACAUUUCGUUUAUUUAAACUUUACUGAAUAUUGACCAAUCCAAAGGAAAACAAAUAUAUUGCCUAGCGGUAAUUUUUUAAAUGGGUUAAACUUUCUCAAUAACAACGAUAUUUUUACAAAAUAAGACAUUUUUAUGACCACUGAUGACACUGUUUUGUAGAGGGUCAUUUUAUAAUUAGCUCAAGGAAGAGGUCAUCUAAAAUAGAAUUUGAUUGAGCAAUAAGCUCGUGUGACAAUGAGUUUCAGGGCCUUGGGCAUUAUAGGGCACAACCGUGAAGAACUGAAAUAAAUAGACGCCUAUAUUACUGGCCUUAAAUGUUGUUUCAUACUGUAGCCUUUGUAUAAUCAAAAUUAUUUACUGUAGAUUUUUAAAUGCGAGUAUUGAAUGUGGAAUUUUAAAAU